rnacentral:rRNA from 1 species
UUAAGCGACUAAGCGUACACGGUGGAUGCCCUGGCAGUCAGAGGCGAUGAAGGACGUGCUAAUCUGCGAAAAGCGUCGGUAAGGUGAUAUGAACCGUUAUAACCGGCGAUGUCCGAAUGGGGAAACCCAGUGCAAUUCGUUGCACUAUCGUUAACUGAAUACAUAGGUUAACGAGGCGAACCGGGGGAACUGAAACAUCUAAGUACCCCGAGGAAAAGAAAUCAACCGAGAUUCCCCCAGUAGCGGCGAGCGAACGGGGAGCAGCCCAGAGUCUGAAUCAGCUUGUGUGUUAGUGGAACGGUCUGGAAAGUCCGACGGUACAGGGUGAUAGUCCCGUACACCAAAAUGCACAGGUUGUGAACUCGAAGAGUAGGGCGGGACACGUGGUAUCCUGUCUGAAUAUGGGGGGACCAUCCUCCAAGGCUAAAUACUCCUGACUGACCGAUAGUGAACCAGUACCGUGAGGGAAAGGCGAAAAGAACCCCGGCGAGGGGAGUGAAAAAGAACCUGAAACCGUGUACGUACAAGCAGUGGGAGCACCUUCGGGUGUGACUGCGUACCUUUUGUAUAAUGGGUCAGCGACUUAUAUUCUGUAGCAAGGUUAACCGUAUAGGGGAGCCGCAGGGAAACCGAGUCUUAACUGGGCGUUAAGUUGCAGGGUAUAGACCCGAAACCCGGUGAUCUAGCCAUGGGCAGGUUGAAGGUUGGGUAACACUAACUGGAGGACCGAACCGACUAAUGUUGAAAAAUUAGCGGAUGACUUGUGGCUGGGGGUGAAAGGCCAAUCAAACCGGGAGAUAGCUGGUUCUCCCCGAAAGCUAUUUAGGUAGCGCCUCGUGAACUCAUCUUCGGGGGUAGAGCACUGUUUCGGCUAGGGGGUCAUCCCGACUUACCAACCCGAUGCAAACUACGAAUACCGAAGAAUGUUAUCACGGGAGACACACGGCGGGUGCUAACGUCCGUCGUGAAGAGGGAAACAACCCAGACCGCCAGCUAAGGUCCCAAAGUCAUGGUUAAGUGGGAAACGAUGUGGGAAGGCACAGACAGCCAGGAUGUUGGCUUAGAAGCAGCCAUCAUUUAAAGAAAGCGUAAUAGCUCACUGGUCGAGUCGGCCUGCGCGGAAGAUGUAACGGGGCUAAACCAUGCACCGAAGCUGCGGCAGCGACACUAUGUGUUGUUGGGUAGGGGAGCGUUCUGUAAGCCUGCGAAGGUGACCUGUGAGGGUUGCUGGAGGUAUCAGAAGUGCGAAUGCUGACAUAAGUAACGAUAAAGCGGGUGAAAAGCCCGCUCGCCGGAAGACCAAGGGUUCCUGUCCAACGUUAAUCGGGGCAGGGUGAGUCGACCCCUAAGGCGAGGCCGAAAGGCGUAGUCGAUGGGAAACAGGUUAAUAUUCCUGUACUUGGUGUUACUGCGAAGGGGGGACGGAGAAGGCUAUGUUAGCCGGGCGACGGUUGUCCCGGUUUAAGCAUGUAGGCUGGUUAUCCAGGCAAAUCCGGAUAAUCAAGGCUGAGGUGUGAUGACGAGGCACUACGGUGCUGAAGUAACAAAUGCCCUGCUUCCAGGAAAAGCCUCUAAGCAUCAGGUAACAUUAAAUCGUACCCCAAACCGACACAGGUGGUCAGGUAGAGAAUACCAAGGCGCUUGAGAGAACUCGGGUGAAGGAACUAGGCAAAAUGGUGCCGUAACUUCGGGAGAAGGCACGCUGGUGUGUAGGUGAAGCCCCUGCGGGUGGAGCUGAGACCAGUCGAAGAUACCAGCUGGCUGCAACUGUUUAUUAAAAACACAGCACUGUGCAAACACGAAAGUGGACGUAUACGGUGUGACGCCUGCCCGGUGCCGGAAGGUUAAUUGAUGGGGUUAUCCGUAAGGAGAAGCUCUUGAUCGAAGCCCCGGUAAACGGCGGCCGUAACUAUAACGGUCCUAAGGUAGCGAAAUUCCUUGUCGGGUAAGUUCCGACCUGCACGAAUGGCGUAAUGAUGGCCAGGCUGUCUCCACCCGAGACUCAGUGAAAUUGAACUCGCUGUGAAGAUGCAGUGUACCCGCGGCAAGACGGAAAGACCCCGUGAACCUUUACUAUAGCUUGACACUGAACAUUGAGCCUUGAUGUGUAGGAUAGGUGGGAGGCUUUGAAGCGUGGACGCCAGUCUGCGUGGAGCCAACCUUGAAAUACCACCCUUUAAUGUUUGAUGUUCUAACGUUGGCCCCUUACCGGGGUUGCGGACAGUGUCUGGUGGGUAGUUUGACUGGGGCGGUCUCCUCCCAAAGCGUAACGGAGGAGCACGAAGGUUAGCUAAUCCUGGUCGGACAUCAGGAGGUUAGUGCAAUGGCAUAAGCUAGCUUGACUGCGAGCGUGACGGCGCGAGCAGGUGCGAAAGCAGGUCAUAGUGAUCCGGUGGUUCUGAAUGGAAGGGCCAUCGCUCAACGGAUAAAAGGUACUCCGGGGAUAACAGGCUGAUACCGCCCAAGAGUUCAUAUCGACGGCGGUGUUUGGCACCUCGAUGUCGGCUCAUCACAUCCUGGGGCUGAAGUAGGUCCCAAGGGUAUGGCUGUUCGCCAUUUAAAGUGGUACGCGAGCUGGGUUUAGAACGUCGUGAGACAGUUCGGUCCCUAUCUGCCGUGGGCGCUGGAGAAUUGAGGGGGGCUGCUCCUAGUACGAGAGGACCGGAGUGGACGCAUCACUGGUGUUCGGGUUGUCAUGCCAAUGGCACUGCCCGGUAGCUAAAUGCGGAAGAGAUAAGUGCUGAAAGCAUCUAAGCACGAAACUUGCCCCGAGAUGAGUUCUCCCUGAGACUUUAAGUCUCCUGAAGGAACGUUGAAGACGACGACGUUGAUAGGCCGGGUGUGUAAGCGCAGCGAUGCGUUGAGCUAACCGGUACUAAUGAACCGUGAGGCUUAACCUU